rfam:Sorghum bicolor cultivar BTx623 chromosome 3, whole genome shotgun sequence.
GUUGUCGGAUUCACUUUAAUUCAUGUGUGUUGGUGUAAAUUGGGGUGUAAUUUAGUUCAAGUUUCACUCCAAUCCAGCUCAACACAUGUGGAUUGAUGUGAAUCUGACU